rnacentral:antisense_RNA from 1 species
CUUUAGGUACUUCUUCAGUAACAUUUUCUUUAAACAUAAUGUGUGAU